AACCAGAGCUUCAUUCAGCAGAAAGCACCGAGCCCAAGCGAUUGCUCCUCCAGCAAACUUUGUCAAACCCCUGAGAAAGAAAAAGCUUCCGGCGGAGGAGGAUGGCCAUGGCGGCGAGGAGGUGCGUACUGUUCGCGGCAUUGUCGCUGCUGGUGUUGGGAUCUUCCCUGGGAUCGUCUGCCGCAAGCCCCGAAUCAUCUUUCGUGAAGAAGACCAUCUCCUCUCACCAGAUCGUCAUCUUCUCCAAGUCCUACUGCCCGUAUUGCAGGAGGGCAAAGGCUGUAUUCAAGGAAUUGAACCAGACACCUCAUGUUGUCGAGCUUGAUGAGAGAGAUGAUGGAUGGAAAAUUCAGGAUGCCUUAAGUCAAAGAAUAGGAAGGCGUACUGUACCCCAGGUGUUUAUAAAUGGGAAGCACAUUGGAGGUUCCGAUGAUACAGUCGAAGCAUAUGAAAGUGGUGAAUUAAGUAAGCUCCUUGGAAUUGAUGGAAAACAGGAGGAGGAACUAUGAGGAAUUGUAUUGUCAAUGGAUAACUGAGCAAUACUUCCAAGUAAUUCUUCAAUACUGGGCUUAUUCUGCUGAGGAUAUGGAUAAGUACACAUGGCUCGAAAUACAUCGGCUCUUUGAUUGUUCUAUGUUCUAAUUGUAGCAAGUGCUAUAUUAUGUGAACUUUUUUUUUUUUAUGGAACAUUUUGGACUUCUAGGAAGUGACUUGCUCUUUUUGCAAUUUCAUCCCAUCUAUCUAAGGUGUUUCCUCUUUCAAUCA